rnacentral:lncRNA from 1 species
GCGUGGCUGAAAGGGAUAAAAAAAAAGUAAUGAACUCAUGUUAAAUGACCAAGCCUGAUCUUGGGUUUUUUGAGCAGUUAUCGAUAUCUUAUUUAUAAAAUUAAUAAUACCAGACUCCUCUUUGGUUAGGAUACAAAAGGGCGCGAACAUGUACCCGACUCAGGAAGCAAAUUGUUUUUAUCGAAUAACUCGUUUAUUUUCAAUUUUAUAGUAAAAAUGGUCACAACUAAACUGGCAGGAAAUUUAAUUCUCUACAACUUUGAUCGAGACAAUUUUCGGUCUACCGUUGAUAUUUUCCGAGAAACCGAAUUGAUCGUGAUGUUACAGAGAAGAACUAACAGAAACAGACUACAUUGCAGUAUUGUGGACCACGGUUAGCAAUGAUCCGAAUAAAUCUGAACAGGUGCUAGAGAGACUACUGCAUUCAAACUAUAAAGCAGCACGAAGGAGGUAAGAAUCGAUGCGAUUUGGAAUUGCCAUGAUGAUUAUAGCAUUAAAUUUUUACUAAUAUUGGAUUCUGCUCACUCGUUUGAUGUAUUUAUUUAAUAAUUGUGCUUAUUUGAUAAGCCUUCUGUUAUAGAAUUCUGUAAUUAAUGUAUUGUAUGUGCAUCAAAAGUCGCAAGUAAUAUUCUCUUAUAUUUUUA